rnacentral:rRNA from 1 species
AGAGUUUGAUCCUGGCUCAGGAUAAACGCUGGCGGCGUGCGUAACACAUGCAAGUUGAGCGACGGUUGACGGAACUGGAGACAGGAAAGUCGAUACGGAGCAGCGGACGGGUGAGUAAGAUAUGAGGAGUUGUCCAACAGAGGGGGAUAACGUUUGGAAACGAAUGCUAAUACCCCAUAGGCCGAAAGGUUAAAGCAGCAAUGUACUGUUGGAGACACUCGUAACCUAUCAACUAGUUGGCGGGGUAACGGCCCACCAAGGUAACGACGGGUAGCCGGCCUGAGAGGGUGUCCGGCCACAUUGGGACUGAGAUACGGCCCAGACUCCUACGGGAGGCAGCAGUGGGGAAUAUUGGGCAAUGGGAGAAAUCCUGACCCAGCGACGCCGCGUGAAUGAAGAAGGCCUUAGGGUCGUAAAGUUCUUUUAUACUAGAAGAAGAAAAUGACGGUAUAGUAUGAAUAAGCCCCGGCUAACUACGUGCCAGCAGCCGCGGUAAUACGUAGGGGGCGAGCGUUGUCCGGAAUUACUGGGCGUAAAGGGCGCGCAGGCUGUUUUGCAAGUCAGCUGUUAAAAGUUGCGGCUUAACCGUGAUAUGCAGUUGAAACUACAAGACUGGAGUAUCGGAGAGGUAAGCGGAAUUCCCAGUGUAGCGGUGAAAUGCGUAGAUAUUGGGAAGAACAUCGGUGGCGAAGGCGGCUUACUGGCCGAAGACUGACGNUGAGGCGCGAAAGCUAGGGUAGCAAACGGGAUUAGAUACCCCGGUAGUCCUAGCGGUAAACGAUGAAUGCUAGGUGUGCGUGCAGAGAUGCAGGUGUGCCGCAGCGAACGCGAUAAGCAUUCCGCCUGGGGAGUACGGUCGCAAGAUUGAAACUCAAAGGAAUUGACGGGGGCCCGCACAAGCGGUGGAGCACGCGGUUUAAUUCGAUGCAAACCGAAGUACCUUACCUGGGUUUGACAUACAAGUGGUAAGAGGUGGAAACACUGAUGACCGUAGCAAUACGGAGCUUGAACAGGUGCUGCAUGGCUGUCGUCAGCUCGUGUCGUGAGAUGUUGGGUUAAGUCCCGCAACGAGCGCAACCCCUGCGGUUAGUUGCUAACGGGUAGAGCCGAGCACUCUAACAGGACUGCCAUCGAUAAGAUGCGAGGAAGGUGGGGAUGACGUCAAGUCAUCAUGGCCUUUAUGCCCAGGGCGACACACGUGCUACAAUGGGCAGUACAGAGGGAAGCAAGUCCGAGAGGAUAAGCGGACCCCAGAAAGCUGCUCUCAGUUCGGAUUGAGGUCUGCAAUUCGACCUCAUGAAGCUGGAAUCGCUAGUAAUCGCAGAUCAGCCAAGCUGCGGUGAAUCCGUUCCCGGGCCUUGUACACACCGCCCGUCACACCACCCGAGCCGGGUGUACCCGAAGCCUGUGGCCUAACCUGAAAAGGGAGGAGCAGUCGAAGGUGUGUCUGGUGAGGGGGGUGAAGUCGUAACAAGGUAGCC